UACGAACGCUGGCGGCGUGCCUAAUACAUGCAAGUAGAACGCUGAAGAGAGGAGCUUGCUCUUCUUGGAUGAGUUGCGAACGGGUGAGUAACGCGUAGGUAACCUGCCUUGUAGCGGGGGAUAACUAUUGGAAACGAUAGCUAAUACCGCAUAACAAUGGAUGACACAUGUCAUUUAUUUGAAAGGGGCAAAUGCUCCACUACAAGAUGGACCUGCGUUGUAUUAGCUAGUAGGUGAGGUAACGGCUCACCUAGGCGACGAUACAUAGCCGACCUGAGAGGGUGAUCGGCCACACUGGGACUGAGACACGGCCCAGACUCCUACGGGAGGCAGCAGUAGGGAAUCUUCGGCAAUGGGGGCAACCCUGACCGAGCAACGCCGCGUGAGUGAAGAAGGUUUUCGGAUCGUAAAGCUCUGUUGUAAGUCAAGAACGAGUGUGAGAGUGGAAAGUUCACACUGUGACGGUAGCUUACCAGAAAGGGACGGCUAACUACGUGCCAGCAGCCGCGGUAAUACGUAGGUCCCGAGCGUUGUCCGGAUUUAUUGGGCGUAAAGCGAGCGCAGGCGGUUUGAUAAGUCUGAAGUUAAAGGCUGUGGCUCAACCAUAGUUCGCUUUGGAAACUGUCAAACUUGAGUGCAGAAGGGGAGAGUGGAAUUCCAUGUGUAGCGGUGAAAUGCGUAGAUAUAUGGAGGAACACCGGUGGCGAAAGCGGCUCUCUGGUCUGUAACUGACGCUGAGGCUCGAAAGCGUGGGGAGCGAACAGGAUUAGAUACCCUGGUAGUCCACGCCGUAAACGAUGAGUGCUAGGUGUUGGAUCCUUUCCGGGAUUCAGUGCCGCAGCUAACGCAUUAAGCACUCCGCCUGGGGAGUACGACCGCAAGGUUGAAACUCAAAGGAAUUGACGGGGGCCCGCACAAGCGGUGGAGCAUGUGGUUUAAUUCGAAGCAACGCGAAGAACCUUACCAGGUCUUGACAUCCCGAUGCUAUUUCUAGAGAUAGAAAGUUACUUCGGUACAUCGGUGACAGGUGGUGCAUGGUUGUCGUCAGCUCGUGUCGUGAGAUGUUGGGUUAAGUCCCGCAACGAGCGCAACCCCUAUUGUUAGUUGCCAUCAUUCAGUUGGGCACUCUAGCGAGACUGCCGGUAAUAAACCGGAGGAAGGUGGGGAUGACGCCAAAUCAUCAUGCCCCUUAUGACCUGGGCUACACACGUGCUACAAUGGUUGGUACAACGAGUUGCGAGUCGGUGACGGCAAGCUAAUCUCUUAAAGCCAAUCUCAGUUCGGAUUGUAGGCUGCAACUCGCCUACAUGAAGUCGGAAUCGCUAGUAAUCGCGGAUCAGCACGCCGCGGUGAAUACGUUCCCGGGCCUUGUACACACCGCCCGUCACACCACGAGAGUUUGUAACACCCGAAGUCGGUGAGGUAACCUUUUGGAGCCAGCCGCCUAAGGUGGGA
rnacentral:rRNA from 1 species